CAGAGUUUGGCCUGUUUGGGAGACUGGUUGACAGAGCCCCCUGGGAGGCAGUACUGAAAGGCUAAGGAGUCCAGGAAGGCUGGAUGUCCUUCAAGAAGGAAAUAUUGAAGUGGUGCCCUGUGCUCACACCCAACUUCUCUUCCCCUGUGAAAUCAAGUCCCAGUGUGACUGCAAGGAUAAGAGCAGGCCUGUUGCAUGGAGAGAGCACCUGGAGAGAAUUCAUCAUUUCAACUUGGGGAAACUGGAAUUGACAAAUCAACAAAAUCCCUGAAAUUUAAGGUUUGUUAAACCUGUUUUAAUCCUUUUUGGUUCCUGAGGAGGAGUGAAACAGC